UACGUAGGGGGGCAAGCGUUGUCCGGAAUCAUUGGGCGUAAAGAGCGUGUAGGCGGCCCGGUAAGUCUGUUGUGAAAGUCCAGGGCUCAACCCUGGAAUGCCGAUGGAUACUGCCGGGCUAGAGUUCGGAAGAGGCGAGUGGAAUUCCUGGUGUAGCGGUGGAAUGCGCAGAUAUCAGGAGGAACACCUAUAGCGAAGGCAGCUCGCUGGGACGACACUGACGCUGAGACGCGAAAGCGUGGGGAGCGAACAGG
rnacentral:rRNA from 1 species